rnacentral:rRNA from 1 species
CCUACGGGAGGCAGCAGUGGGGGAUAUUGGACAAUGGGGGGAACCCUGAUCCAGCGACGCCGCGUGAGUGAAGAAGUAUUUCGGUAUGUAAAGCUCUGUCAGCAGGGAAGAAAGAAAUGACUGUAACUGAUCAAGCAGUCCCGGAUAACUACGUGCCAGCAGCCGCCGUACUACGUAGGGAGCAAGCGUUAUGCGGAAUUACUGGGUGUAAAGGGAGCGUAGACGGUUAAGUAAGUCUGGAGUGAAAUGCCGGGGCUCAACCCCGGGACUGCUCUGGAAACCAUUGAACUUGAGUGCAGGAGAGGUAAGCGGAAUUCCUAGUGUAGCGGUGAAAUGCGUAGAUAUUAGGAGGAACACCAGUGGCGAAGGCGGCUUACUGGAACGUAACUGACGGUGAGGCUCGAAAGCGUGGGGAGCAAACAGGAUUAGAUACCCUUGUAGUC